AAUACAAGUAAAUACAGAGGGUCCUCACUUUGCGACCUACCUGUUUUUUGACGGCUCGCACUUACAACCAGCUCUCUAGCGUGGGGAUUCAAGGGAUUCCCCACGUUAGAGAGCUGGUCUAUGUUGGGUGAAUUUUCCCCAAACAUAGAUUACAGGGAUUCCCUGCUCUGAUGUGUAUGUCUACGUUCGAGAAAAUUUCCCUGAACAUAUAAAAACGCACCAGAGCAGG